UAUGUCUGGAAGUGGCAUACUGCUCAGUAACACGUAGCUAACCUACCCUUAGGACGGGGACAACCCCGAGAAAUUGGGGCUAAUCCCCGAUAGGUAUGAUGUCUUGGAAUAGUAUCACGCCCAAAGGGGUUACAUACAUGUAUGUAGCUUGCCUAAGGAUGGGGCUGCGGCCGAUCAGGCAGUUGGCGAGGUAAAGGCUCACCAAACCAUUGACCGGUACGGGCCAUGAGAGUGGUAGCCCGGAGAUGGGCACUGAGACAAGGGCCCAGGCCCUACGGGGCGCAGCAGGCGCGAAACCUCCUCAAUGCACACACGUGCGAAGGGGUUACCUCGAGUGCUACCUGAAGAAGGUAGCUUUUCCUCGGUCUAAAAAGCCUUGGGAAUAAGAGGGGGGCAAGACUGGUGUCAGCCGCCGCGGUAACACCAGCCCCUCGAGUGGUGGGGAUGAUUAUUUGGUCUAAAGCGUCCGUAGCCGGCCGUGUAAGUUUCCCGUUAAAUCCAUCGUCUCAAGCGUUGGACCGCGGGAAAUACUGCUCGGCUAGAGAGUGGGAGAGGUCAACGGUAUUCCGGGGGUAGGGGCGAAAUCCUUUGAUCCCCGGAGGACCACCAGUGGCGAAGGCUGUUGACUAGAACACGUCUGACGGUCAGGGACGAAAGCUGGGGUAGCGAACCGGAUUAGAUACCCGGGUAGUCCCAGCCGUAAACGAUGCAUGCUAGGUGUUAGGUUGGCCACGUGCCACCCUAGUGCCGCAGGGAAGCCAUUAAGCAUGCCACCUGGGAAGUACGGCCGCAAGGCUGAAACUUAAAGGAAUUGGCGGGGGAGCACCACCAGGCGUGAAGCCUGCGGUUUAAUUGGA
rnacentral:rRNA from 1 species